rnacentral:rRNA from 1 species
UACGUAGGGGGCUAGCGUUGUCCGGAAUCAUUGGGGGUAAAGCGCGCGUAGGCGGCCAGAUAAGUCCGGUGUGAAAGUCAAAGGCUCAACCUUUGAAUGCCGCUGGAAACUGUCUGGCUUGAGUCCGGAAGGGGCGAGUGGAAUUCCUGGUGUAGCGGUGAAAUGCGCAGAUAUCAGGAAGAACACCCGUGGCGAAGGCGGCUCUCUGGAACGCAACUGACGCUGAGACGCGAAAGCGUGGGGAGCAAACAGG